ACAACGGAGAGUUUGAUCCUGGCUCAGGACGAACGCUGGCGGCGUGCCUAACACAUGCAAGUCAAGGGGUAGCAAUACCACUGGCGCACGGGUGAGUAACGCGUAGGUCAUCUGCCUCUAUCCCCGGAAUAACGCUGAGAAAUUGGUGCUAAAAACGGAUGAGGCGUUUACGUCAAAGGAAACGGAUAGAGAUGAGCCUGCGUAAGAUUAGCUAGUUGGUGAGGUAAUGGCUCACCAAGGCAACGAUCUUUAGCUGGUCUGAGAGGACGAUCAGCCACACUGGAACUGAGACACGGUCCAGACUCCUACGGGAGGCAGCAGUGAGGAAUUUUGCACAAUGGAGGAAACUCUGAUGCAGCGACGCCGCGUGUAUGAAGAAGGAGCUUUGCUCUGUAAAGUACUGUCGGAUGGGAAAAAAAGUUCGGUCGCCGGACUGGGAUUGUACCAUCAAAGGAAGGGUCGGCUAACUACGUGCCAGCAGCCGCGGUAAUACGUAGGACCCGAGCGUUGUCCGGAUUUACUGGGUGUAAAGGGUGCGUAGGCGGACUUGUACGUCGGAGGUUAAAUCUCUAGGCUCAACCUAGAAACUGCCUUCGAAACGGCAAGCCUUGAGUGUGAGAGAGGAUGAUAGAAUUCCUGGUGUAGCGGUGAAAUGCGUAGAUAUCAGGAGGAAUACCAGUGGCGAAGGCGGUCAUCUGGCUCAUUACUGACGCUGAGGCACGAAAGCGUGGGGAUCAAACAGGAUUAGAUACCCUGGUAGUCCACGCCCUAAACGAUGUAUGCUUGGUGUUGGCCAACUAGCUUGGUCAGUGCCGAAGGAAACCCAUUAAGCAUACCACCUGGGGAGUACGAUCGCAAGGUUGAAACUCAAAGGAAUUGACGGGGGCCCGCACAAGCGGUGGAUUAUGUGGUUUAAUUCGAUGCAACGCGAAGAACCUUACCUGGGCUCGAAGUGCAGAUGACCGUUCCUGAAAGGGAGCUUUUCUUCGGAACAUCUGUAUAGGUGCUGCAUGGCUGUCGUCAGCUCGUGCCGUGAGGUGUUGGGUUAAGUCCCGCAACGAGCGCAACCCCUAUCCUUAGUUGC
rnacentral:rRNA from 1 species